AUCAAACUGCAAGAUAAACAGGCCUGGGUCACGCAGAGGCCAAUUGUGCAGGCACAGCAGCCUCCAAAAUGGCCACCGUUCCGGAAGGAGAAGGCCUGAAUUGGCUGAAGAGCCGGCCGAAUGUCUGGUAGCAGCAAAAAGGGAGGCUGGCAGUGGGAGGGGGAGGCUCCGCAGACCCCCCUGAACCCACCUCUGCCUCCAACAACUCCCCUGAAGGGGGGCUUCAUCCUGAUACACUUCAUCACAGAAAAGACAGCACUUUUGAACAUGUGGAGUGAUUUUCCUUGAUCUUACCAACAACAGCCAAGAAAAGGAAAGGAAAGAAAGGAGUCCUCCAUUAGGCAAUACUUACCACGACAAAUUGGCCGAUGGUCACUCCAGGCAGCCAGAGUAUCUGUCACCUUUUGACAAGUGAUGCUUUUCGUACCUUGGAGCACAUAAUUGUCAUCACAGGUGAACUGAACAUUAGCACCAACCCUAGGGGAAAAUGCACUUCCCAACACUCAAGAUAGAAGUCUUGAAGAACAUUGGCACAGUGUUCAGAAGAGUAUGACAGGAAAGUGAAGUAUGAUUGUAGGUCAGAUUGCCAGUGCCUGACUCUGAAAGGUGUUUGCGAGGGAGCUUCAAACAGCUGCAUGACCAGGAGAGCUUUGGCAGGCAGAAGUGUGAUAGCUGGAAUGCUUCUUGUUGUACAAAAAGGAAUGAAGUUACUGCUUUCUGCU